rnacentral:rRNA from 2 species
AAGCUCGUAGUUGAAUUUCGGGGUUAGUAGGUUGGUCAUGCCUCUGGUAUGUACUGGUCUCACUGAUUCCUCCUUCCUGAUGAACCGUAAUGCCAUUAAUUUGGUGUUGCGGGGAAUUUGGACUGUUACUUUGAAAAAAUUAGAGUGUUUAAAGCAAGCUAACGCUUGAAUACAUUAGCAUGGAAUAAUGAAAUAGGACGUUCGAUCCUAUUUUGUUGGUUUCUAGGAUUGACGUAAUGAUUAAUAGGGAUAGUUGGG